rnacentral:rRNA from 1 species
GACAGAGGUGCCGAGCGUUAGGCGGAAUCACUGGGCUUAAAGCGUGUGUAGGCGGGCGAUCAAGUACCUUGUGAAAUCCCACGGCUCAACCGUGGAACCGCUGGGUAUACUGGUUGUCUUGAGCCGGCUAGGGGCGAGCGGAACAGACGGUGGAGCGGUGAAAUGCGUUGAUAUCGGAAGGAACGCCGGUGGCGAAAGCGAUCCGCUGGCCCUCUACUGACGCUGAGGCGCGAAAGCCAGGGGAGCAAACGGG